CUACGGGGCGCAGCAGUGAGGAAUUUUGCGCAAUGGGGGCAACCCUGACGCAGCAACGCCGCGUGAGUGAAGAAGGCCUUUGGGUCGUAAAGCUCUGUCGACAGGGAAGAAGUUAUUGUUGUUUAAUAGAUGACAGUAUUGACGGUACCUGUAGAGGAAGCACCGGCUAACUCCGUGCCAGCAGCCGCGGUAAUACGGGGGGUGCAAGCGUUAUUCGGAAUUAUUGGGCGUAAAGGGCGCGUAGGCGGUCUUGUCGGUCAGAUGUGAAAGCCCAGGGCUCAACCCUGGACGUGCAUUUGAAACAGCAAGACUUGAGUACGGGAGAGGAAAGCGGAAUUCCUGGUGUAGAGGUGAAAUUCGUAGAUAUCAGGAGGAACACCGAUGGCGAAGGCAGCUUUCUGGACCGAUACUGACGCUGAGGCGCGAAGGUGUGGGUAGCGAACGGGAUUAGAUACCCUCGUAGUC
rnacentral:rRNA from 1 species